GUGGGGAAUAUUGGACAAUGGGCGAAAGCCUGAUCCAGCCAUGCCGCGUGUGUGAAGAAGGUCUUCGGAUUGUAAAGCACUUUAAGUUGGGAGGAAGGGCAGUAAGUUAAUACCUUGCUGUUUUGACGUUACCAACAGAAUAAGCACCGGCUAACUUCGUGCCAGCAGCCGCGGUAAUACGAAGGGUGCAAGCGUUAAUCGGAAUUACUGGGCGUAAAGCGCGCGUAGGUGGUUCAGCAAGUUGAAGGUGAAAUCCCCGGGCUCAACCUGGGAACUGCCUCCAAAACUACUGAGCUAGAGUACGGUAGAGGGUAGUGGAAUUCCCUGUGUAGCGGUGAAAUGCGUAGAUAUAGGAAGGAACACCAGUGGCGAAGGCGACUACCUGGACUGAUACUGACACUGAGGUGCGAAAGCGUGGGGAGCAAACAGGAUUAGAUACCCCGGUAGUCC
rnacentral:rRNA from 1 species